UGGCGGCAGGCCUAACACAUGCAAGUCGAGCGGCAGCACGGGUACUUGUACCUGGUGGCGAGCGGCGGACGGGUGAGUAAUGCCUAGGAAUCUGCCUGGUAGUGGGGGAUAACGCUCGGAAACGGACGCUAAUACCGCAUACGUCCUACGGGAGAAAGCAGGGGACCUUCGGGCCUUGCGCUAUCAGAUGAGCCUAGGUCGGAUUAGCUAGUUGGUGAGGUAAUGGCUCACCAAGGCGACGAUCCGUAACUGGUCUGAGAGGAUGAUCAGUCACACUGGAACUGAGACACGGUCCAGACUCCUACGGGAGGCAGCAGUGGGGAAUAUUGGACAAUGGGCGAAAGCCUGAUCCAGCCAUGCCGCGUGUGUGAAGAAGGUCUUCGGAUUGUAAAGCACUUUAAGUUGGGAGGAAGGGCAGUUACCUAAUACGUGAUUGUUUUGACGUUACCGACAGAAUAAGCACCGGCUAACUCUGUGCCAGCAGCCGCGGUAAUACAGAGGGUGCAAGCGUUAAUCGGAAUUACUGGGCGUAAAGCGCGCGUAGGUGGUUUGUUAAGUUGAAUGUGAAAUCCCCGGGCUCAACCUGGGAACUGCAUCCAAAACUGGCAAGCUAGAGUAUGGUAGAGGGUGGUGGAAUUUCCUGUGUAGCGGUGAAAUGCGUAGAUAUAGGAAGGAACACCAGUGGCGAAGGCGACCACCUGGACUUG
rnacentral:rRNA from 1 species